CUCUUCAUCUCCUGUUCCAAGGUGGGAACGGGAAUUCCGUGGGAAAGGGGCGGAAAAAUCCUGGGAAAAUUCCGGUUUGGGGUGACAAAAUGGCGGCUUGCAAAGCAGGGUGGGUGGUGUUGUGCUGGAGAUGAUCCUGGAGCUGAUCCCAGAUUUUUGUUCUGGGAUGAUCCCAGAACUUCAUCUUAAUUAUCAAUCCAAGGUGGGAGUUGGGAAUUCCGUGGGAAAGGGGCGGAAAAAUCCCGGGAAAAUUCCGGUUUGGGGUGACAAAAUGGCGGCUUGGGAAGGGGGGUGGGUGGCGUUGUGCGCUCUCCUGGAGAUGAUCCCAGAGCUGAUCCCGGAGCUGAUCCCAGAUUUUUGUUCUGGGAUGAUCCAAGACCUUCCUCUUCAUCUCCCGUUCCAAGGUGGGAGCGGGAAUUCCGUGGGAAAGGGGCGGAAAAAUCCCGGGAAAAUUCCGGUUUGGGGUGACAAA
rnacentral:lncRNA from 1 species